rnacentral:rRNA from 1 species
CGUAGGGGCAAGCGUUGUCCGGAUUUAUUGGGGCGUAAAGCGCGCGCAGGCGGCUCUUUAAGUCAGGUGUGAAAGGCUGCGGCUCAACCGCAGAGCUGCACCUGAAACUGGGGAGCUUGAGUACAGGAGAGGAGAGUGGAAUUCCCGGUGUAGCGGUGGAAUGCGUAGAGAUCGGGAGGAACACCAGUGGCGAAGGCGACUCUCUGGACUGUAACUGACGCUGAGGCGCGAAAGCGUGGGGAGCGAACAGGAUU